ACGCUGGCGGCGUGCUUAACACAUGCAAGUCGAACGGUGAAAGCGGAAGCUUGCUCCGCUGGAUCAGUGGCGAACGGGUGAGUAACACGUGGGCAACCUGCCCUUCACUUCGGGAUAACUCCGGGAAACCGGGGCUAAUACCGGAUACGACCUCUGCGGGCAUCCGCGGAGGUGGAAAGUUUUUCGGUGAAGGAUGGGCCCGCGGCCUAUCAGCUUGUUGGUGAGGUAACGGCUCACCAAGGCGACGACGGGUAGCCGGCCUGAGAGGGCGACCGGCCACACUGGGACUGAGACACGGCCCAGACUCCUACGGGAGGCAGCAGUGGGAAUAUUGCGCAAUGGGCGAAAGCCUGACGCAGCGACGCAGCGUGAGGGAUGAAGGCCUUCGGGUUGUAAACCUCUUUCAGCGGGGACGAAGCGAAAGUGACGGUACCCGCAGAAGAAGCACCGGCUAACUACGUG
rnacentral:rRNA from 1 species